AACGAACGCUGGCGGCAGGCUUAACACAUGCAAGUCGAGCGCGUAGCAAUACGAGCGGCAGACGGGUGAGUAACACGUGGGAAUCUACCCAUCCCUGCGGAACAACUCCGGGAAACUGGAGCUAAUACCGCAUACGCCCUACGGGGGAAAGAUUUAUCGGGGAUGGAUGAGCCCGCGUUGGAUUAGCUAGUUGGUGGGGUAAAGGCCUACCAAGGCGACGAUCCAUAGCUGGUCUGAGAGGAUGAUCAGCCACAUUGGGACUGAGACACGGCCCAAACUCCUACGGGAGGCAGCAGUGGGGAAUAUUGGACAAUGGGCGCAAGCCUGAUCCAGCCAUGCCGCGUGAGUGAUGAAGGCCUUAGGGUUGUAAAGCUCUUUCACCGAUGAAGAUAAUGACGGUAGUCGGAGAAGAAGCCCCGGCUAACUUCGUGCCAGCCGCCGCCGUAACAC
rnacentral:rRNA from 1 species